rnacentral:lncRNA from 1 species
AUGGGGGUGCGGGUGUCCCGGCGUUUCAUUGCAUCUGUAUCUUUGGCCCCACAUCAUUUUAAACAGCAGAGGGCGCCCUGCUCCAGAGAUCUGAGGGAUCGUCCCAGAGUGAGGCCAGGAUGGCAGGCUCCUGCGUGUGUCUACUCCUACUGCACCUCUCAUGCUCGGAGGGAACCCAGAGUGGAAUCCUGCUCCUCACGUCAAGAGAAAAGCUUGAUACGCCUGAGAGUAAAACCCAAUUUAAAGAAGAAGAGUGAUAUAAACUGUUUGGAGGUGCUUUCCACAUGUUGUUCCAGAUUUGGGGUUUGAAGAUACAAAGGAAACCGCUUUUUACCACACUUCACUUUGGAUGGUGAUAAACACAGCUGCCCUGUCUGCAGGACAUGGAUAGCCUCUAUGAAAGCAAAGUAUGUACACCCUCAUGAAGUUCUGGCCCGUGUGUGUGUGUGUGUGUGUGUGUGUGUGUAUAAAUGUUUCAAGUUUUUUUUAUGUUUCUAGUUAAUGUAUAGUAUAAUAUUAGUUUCAGGAGUAGAAUUUAGUGAUUCAUGACAUAUAUAACACGCAUUUCUCAUCAUAACAAGUGCCCUCCUUAAUGCCCAUCACCCAUUUAACCUGUCCCCUUUGCCUGUCUCCCCUCAAGAGACCCUCAGUUUGUUC